rnacentral:rRNA from 1 species
UACGUAGGGGGCAAGCGUUGUCCGGAUUUAUUGGGCGUAAAGAGCGUGUAGGCGGUUUGGUAGGUCCGCUGUGAAAACUCGAGGCUCAACCUCGAGACGCCGGUGGAAACCAUCAGGCUAGAGUCCGGAAGAGGAGAGUGGAAUUCCUGGUGUAGCGGUGAAAUGCGCAGAUAUCAGGAAGAACACCCGUGGCUAAGGCGGCUCUCUAGUACGGUACUGACGCUGAGACGCGAAAGCAUGGGGAGCAAACAGG